AACGAACGCUGGCGGCAUGCCUAACACAUGCAAGUCGAACGAGACCUUCGGGUCUAGUGGCGCACGGGUGCGUAACGCGUGGGAACCUGCCCUUAGGUUCGGAAUAACUCCCCGAAAGGGGUGCUAAUACCGGAUAAUGUCUUCGGACCAAAGAUUUAUCGCCUUUGGAUGGGCCCGCGUUGGAUUAGCUAGUUGGUAGGGUAAAAGCCUACCAAGGCGACGAUCCAUAGCUGGUCUGAGAGGAUGAUCAGCCACACUGGGACUGAGACACGGCCCAGACUCCUACGGGAGGGAGCAGUGGGGAAUAUUGGACGAGGGGGGAAAGCCUGAUCCAGCAAUGCCGGGGGAGUGAUGAAGGGCUUAGGGUUGUAAAGCUCUUUUACCCGGGAUGAUAAUGACAGUACCGGGAGAAUAAGCUCCGGCUAACUCCGUG
rnacentral:rRNA from 1 species